rnacentral:lncRNA from 1 species
UAUUAUUAAUUUAUUUGGCGGUAUUAUGAUCAAUGAAUCUCUUUAACAUGAUCUUGUGGUAUAUCAUGCUUGUAUGCAGAUCAUUGUUCCAUGUGUUAUCAUGGAACAUUAUGUUAUUGUUCGAAUCCAUCCCGGACUUUGGCAAGCAGAUUUGUUCGAUCCAAAGUAUCAUGGUUUGGAUGAACAAUCCAAACUAAUUCGUGCCGAUGAAUUACAGCCACUACUAACUUUGUUCUCUCGAGUAUUGGAAUCUGCUGGAUACUGGGCUACAAACGAGUUAGCUUUGACGAGGAAGACCCGACCAUUACAGAUAUACAUUCCGGGUCCAGAAGAGCAGUUUACCCAGAAGGACUUGUAUUCAUCUAGCCCAUUCGCAUGCAUGAUAGUGGAGCGUAUCAUUUCUGGUUAGCCAAGUAUUACUUGGGGGGACACGCGCGUCAACAAGUAUAGGGAAUUGAUUGCCGCUAGCAUUUUUGAUAUGGGUGUAGUGGAGGAGUAGUGCACGUAUCAUAUGAACUUGUUUUUUAUUCUUAAGACAUUUGCUACCUUAUGAUCAUGUUUUGUAUUGUUAAGACAGUUGCUACCUUAUUAAGACAUUUGCUACCUUAUGAUCAUG